AGAGCACCUUGAGAGAUCUGAUGGCAGGAGGCAGAAGGACACCGGCGCACAGCAGACCCACAGAAAUGGCCUAAUGGAGAAAAGGAUAGAUUCUAGGGUACUGAAAGAUCAAGAAGAUAGGAAGAGUGACACACCAGCCUUUAGUCUUCAUUUUCUCAACCGCCAUCCCAGGAAGAUGCCCAACGUAAAAUUGAUUGAGUCAUCCCAGAAAGCUGCACCAACAGUCGCCCAUUAAAAGUGCCUUGAUCAUUGACA